rnacentral:rRNA from 1 species
AUGUGUGUACCAAAAAACCAAGGAGGAAUGGGAUUCGGUGAUAUCCACUGUUUCAACCCGGCUCUGCUUGCAAAACAGGCAUGGCGUCUCCUUGAUAAUCCUGACUCCCUGUGUGCUACUAUUCUAAGGGCAAAGUACUAUCCUAAUGGUGAUUUGCUGAACUCCAAGCCAAAGCAUGGUGCUUCCUUCACCUGGCAAAGCAUUAUGGCAGGCAUCACUACUCUCAAGCGAGGUUAUAUUUGGCGAGUGGGGGAUGGACAUAACAUCAAUAUUUGGGAAGAUGCCUGGAUCCCAAAUUGUGCCACUAGAAAGAUUGUGACCCCAAGGAGGGGGCAUUUAUUAUCAAAAGUUGUAGAUUUGAUUGACCCGGUCUCCAAUGAUUGGGAUGAGGACCUGAUUAGACAAACUAUGUGGACCAUUGACGCACAACGGAUUCUUUCAAUCCCAAUUUCGCAACAUAAUAUGACAUAUUUUAUUGCCUGGAGUUAUACAAAAAAUGGUCUGUUUUCGGUACGGUCU